GAUGAACGCUAGCGGGAGGCUUAACACAUGCAAGUCGAGGGGCAGCAUAGGGUAGCAAUACUCUGAUGGCGACCGGCAAACGGGUGAGUAACGCGUAUGCAACCUACCCUGUACAGGGGGAUAACCCGGAGAAAUUCGGACUAAUAUCCCGUAAUAAUAUCUGGAGGCAUCUUUGGAUAUUUAAAGUUCCGACGGUACGGGAUGGGCAUGCGUAACAUUAGCUGGUUGGUAAGGUAACGGCUUACCAAGGCUAUGAUGUUUAGGGGUCCUGAGAGGGUGGUCCCCCACACUGGUACUGAGACACGGACCAGACUCCUACGGGAGGCAGCAGUGAGGAAUAUUGGUCAAUGGGCGCAAGCCUGAACCAGCCAUCCCGCGUGCAGGAAGACGGCCCUAUGGGUUGUAAACUGCUUUUCCAGGGAGAGAAACUUACGCACGUGUUGCGUGACUGACGGUACCCUGGGAAUAAGCAUCGGCUAACUCCGUG
rnacentral:rRNA from 1 species